rnacentral:rRNA from 1 species
GCGGGAACAGCUCAAAUUUGAAAUCUGGCCCUCGGGUCCGAAUUGUAAUUUGUAGAGGAUGCUUUUGGAUAGGUACUUUCCGAGUUCCCUGGAACGGGACGCCUUAGAGGGUGAGAGCCCCGUACGGUUGGAUACCGAGCCUCUGUAAAGCUCCUUCGACGAGUCGAGUAGUUUGGGAAUGCUGCUCUAAAUGGGAGGUAAAUUUCUUCUAAAGCUAAAUACUGGCCAGAGACCGAUAGCGCACAAGUAGAGUGAUCGAAAGAUGAAAAGCACUUUGAAAAGAGGGUUAAAUAGCACGUGAAAUUGUUGAAAGGGAAGCGUUUAUGACCAGACUUUUUCCAGGCGGAUCAUCCGGUGUUCUCACCGGUGCACUUCGUCUGGUUGAGGCCAGCAUCGGUUUUCGUGGUGGGAUAAAAGCAGUAGGAAUGUGACUCCUCCGGGAGUGUUAUAGCCUAUUGUAUAAUACCGCCAUGGGGACCGAGGUUCGCGCUCUGCAAGGAUGCYGGCGUAAUGGUCAUCAACGACCCGUCUUGAAACACGGACCAAGGAGUCGAACAUUUGUGCGAGUGUUUGGGUGUUAAACCCUCACGCGUAAUGAAAGUGAACGGAGGUGAGAGCCCUUACGGGUGCAUCAUCGACCGAUCCUGAUGUUUUCGGAUGGAUUUGAGUAAGAGCAUAACUGUUCGGACCCGAAAGAUGGUGAACUAUGCGUGGAUAGGGUGAAAGCCAGAGGAAACUCUUGGUGGAGGCUCGCAGCGGUUCUGACGUGCAAAUCGAUC